CAUGCUAGUUGCACGAGUUUAGACUCGUGGCGAAAAGCUCAGUAACACGUGGUCAAACUACCCUACGAAGACCCAUAACCUCGGGAAACUGAGGCUAAUAGGUCAUAGGUGAGUUACGCUGGAAUGCCAACUCUCCCAAACGCUCAGGCGUCGUAGGAUGUGGCUGCGGCCGAUUAGGUAGACGGUGGGGUAACGGCCCACCGUGCCGAUAAUCGGUACGGGUUGUGAGAGCAAGAGCCCGGAGACGGAAUCUGAGACAAGAUUCCGGGCCCUACGGGGCGCAGCAGGCGCGAAACCUUUACACUGCACGCAAGUGCGAUAAGGGGACCCCAAGUGCGAGGGCAUAUAGUCCUCGCUUUUUCCGACCGUAAGGUGGUCGGCGAAUAAGGGCUGGGCAAGACCGGUGCCAGCCGCCGCGGUAAUACCGGCAGCCCAAGUGAUGACCGAUAUUAUUGGGCCUAAAGCGUCCGUAGCCGGCCAUGAAGGUUCAUCGGGAAAUCCGCCAGCUCAACUGGCGGGCGUCCGGUGAAAACCACGUGGCUUGGGACCGGAAGGCUCGAGGGGUACGUCCGGGGUAGGAGUGAAAUCCCGUAAUCCUGGACGGACCACCGAUGGCGAAAGCACCUCGAGAAGACGGAUCCGACGGUGAGGGACGAAAGCUAGGGUCUCGAACCGGAUUAGAUACCCGGGUAGUCCUAGCUGUAAACGAUGCUCGCUAGGUGUGGCACAGGCUACGAGCCUGUGCUGUGCCGUAGGGAAGCCGAGAAGCGAGCCGCCUGGGAAGUACGUCCGCAAGGAUGAAACUAAAGGAAUGCGGGGGAGCACUACA
rnacentral:rRNA from 1 species